rnacentral:rRNA from 1 species
CACGUAGGGCGCAAGCGUUGUCCGGAAUUAUUGGGCGUAAAGAGCUCGUAGGCGGUCUGUUGCGUCCGCUGUGAAAACUCGGGGCUUAACCCCGAGCCUGCAGUGGAUACGGGCAGACUAGAGGUAGGUAGGGGAGAAUGGAGUUCCCGGUGUAGCGGUGAAAUGCGCAGAUAUCGGGAGGAACACCGGUGGCGAAGGCGGUUCUCUGGGCCUUACCUGACGCUGAGGAGCGAAAGUGUGGGGAGCGAACAGG